rnacentral:ncRNA from 1 species
GGUAUUCUCAUGCAUUCUUGCAUUCGAGGAACCUUUAUGACAGUCCAGAAUGCCGUUGUGGCUCGGCUGCUGAGACAUGGGAGCAUGUUCUCUGUGAGUGCACAAGGUAUGCAGAUUUUCGAGAUCUGAGGGGGAUGGGUAUAAGUGAGGUUAGUGGCGGGUUUGACGUAAGUCAAUCACUCUCCACUAGUGAUAGGGUUAGAAGAAUGAGUGAGUUUGCUAGAGCUGCAUUUUCCAGGCGACGUUUGCAAUUGCAGGAAGGAAUUGUAUGAAUGAUGAUGGAUGGUAGAUGUGAGAAUGUGGGGGUACGAAUGUGGGGGUGUUUCUGAAUGGUAAUUUUUGUUGAACAUUGUGUUGUGAUGGGGCUACCAACCCUUAACUGUUUUGGAGUUUAAAUUGGAAGUGCCCUUCUGGUACGAGGCCUGACCGGAGGCUUUUAAUCUGGUACCACGGGUAACCAGGAGCCCACGGAACUUGUUCCGUCCUGGUUAGUUGGUGCGGCCCUUCGGGGAGUAUCGUGGUGGUUGUGGUUUAACACCCAAAUGCGGGUAGAGCAUCGCUCGACGUGGAGUUGCGUCAUACAACCGGGUUCCGUGACCCAGAUUACGGAAGAGGCUUAGAUAGUCCUCGUGCCAAACCAAGGUAGAAGUCACAACCAAACAGUCGUGUCUUUAAUUGGUACCUGCGGAAUUGUUCCAAGGGGGCGGUGAUUGACGCUUGAAUUAAUCCUAUACUAGGAACCGUGAGAUUAAGCCAUCGCGGCAGGUGCUCACGUUAAGCCCACUGACUUUCAUGUCCCUAUCUACUAUCUAGCGAAACCACAGCCAAGGGAACGGGCUUGGAAUAAUUAGCGGGGAAAGAAGACCCUUUUGAGCUUGACUCUAAUCUGGCAGUGUAAGGAGACAUAAGAGGUGUAGAAUAAGUGGGAGAUAUUAGACUUCGGUUUGGUAUCGACAAUGAAAUACCACUACUCUUAUUGUUUCCUUACUUACUUGAUUAAAUGGAACGUGUAUCAUUUCCUAGCCAUUAUACGGAUAUAAUUAUUAUGUCUUAUGGUAUUGGGUUUUGAUGCAAGCUUCUUGAUCAAAGUAUCACGAGUUUGUUAUAUAAUCGCAAACAAAUUCUUUAAUGAGAGAAUGCAUUUAUGUAUUAUUGAUUUAAAAAUUUGGUAUAACUCCAAUUACUCAGGUAUGAUCCAAUUCAAGGACAUUGCCAGGUAGGGAAU